UACGUAGGGUGCAAGCGUUGUCCGGAAUUAUUGGGCGUAAAGAGCUCGUAGGCGGUUCGUCGCGUCGGCUGUGAAAACCCGGGGCUCAACCCCGGGCCUGCAUUCGAUACGGGCAGACUAGAGUUCGGUAGGGGAGACUGGAAUUCCUGGUGUAGCGGUGAAAUGCGCAGAUAUCAGGAGGAACACCGGUGGCGAAGGCGGGUCUCUGGGCCGAAACUGACGCUGAGGAGCGAAAGCGUGGGGAGCGAACAGG
rnacentral:rRNA from 1 species